rnacentral:lncRNA from 1 species
CCGACAUAUAGGCAUGGAUCAUACCACCAGUUUCAAAAUACUCCUCAACCAUCUAUCACUGGUCACAGCUCAGCUUUUGAGGAUAAGAUUCUAAAAGUGCUAAAAUGAUUAGAAGUCAACACCCAGAUUCUUAACUCCCACACGCAAUCCAUUGCUAAGCUAGAAAUCCAAAUAGGUCAACUAGCAACUGCAGUCAGUAGGAGAGAAGAAGAAAAAUUAUCUAGCCAAUCUGAGGGCAAUCCGAGAGGAUAAUUCAUGGUUGAGAGCUCCAAUACUCCAGAUACCUUUUCUGAACACGUCAAAUCAAUCAUGACUCUCAAAAGUGGAAAGGUCAUUGAACACACGAGUAAAAUUAAUGAGACCGAUCUUAGACCUCUGACUAAGCCCAAAUCACCUA